rnacentral:rRNA from 1 species
GAUGAACGCUGGCGGCGUGCCUAAUACAUGCAAGUCGAGCGAACAGACGAGGAGCUUGCUCCUCUGACGUUAGCGGCGGACGGGUGAGUAACACGUGGAUAACCUACCUAUAAGACUGGGAUAACUUCGGGAAACCGGAGCUAAUACCGGAUAAUAUAUUGAACCGCAUGGUUCAAUAGUGAAAGACGGUUUUGCUGUCACUUAUAGAUGGAUCCGCGCCGCAUUAGCUAGUUGGUAAGGUAACGGCUUACCAAGGCGACGAUGCGUAGCCGACCUGAGAGGGUGAUCGGACACACUGGAACUGAGACACGGUCCAGACUCCUACGGGAGGCAGCAGUAGGGAAUAUUCCGCAAUGGGCGAAAGCCUGACGGAGCAACGCCGCGUGAGUGAUGAAGGUCUUCGGAUCGUAAAACUCUGUUAUUAGGGAAGAACAAAUGUGUAAGUAACUAUGCACGUCUUGACGGUACCUAAUCAGAAAGCCACGGCUAACUACGUG